GGUUCACGUCAUUCUCCUGCCUCAGCCUCAUGAGUAGCUGGGACUACAGGCGUCCGCCACCACGCCUGGCUAAUUUUUUGUAUUUUUAGUAGACACAGGGUUUCACCGUGUUAGCCAGGAUGGUCUCGAUCUCCUGACCUCGUGAUCCGCCUGCCUCGGCCUCCCACAGUGCUGGGAUUACAGGUGUGAGCCACCGUGCCCGGCCAAAUAUUUUUUAAGAACAGAGAUUUUUAGCAUCCAGCUGUAAGUCGUCUGAGAUUCUGUGAUAGGAAAACUCCUCCAUCGCCUCCAGAUUCUCAGUAGUCUGUUACACUCACCAAAACCUUAAGGAUUAUGAAGUCACACUGAAUUCCCAGAAGAUCAGACCCACCCAUCUCCAAAUAUGACAACAAAAACACAUUCCAGAGCCAAAUAUAAACGCAUUUUUAAUUAUCUGCGCCACUGCUCCCUCCCAUUAGUGUGGGAAAUCAAGAAUCUUGAGCCCUUCAGGGGCUGAGGUUGAAUCUGGUACAACAUCUCUGCCUGUAUCUGGUGCCCAGCCUAGAAGCUGGUGUAGAUGAGGGGCCAGGAAAGGGAUGGAGGAUCCUGCAGCAUGGCCUGGGAAUGCAGGACUUCAACGACAAUGAAGAAGAAAUACUGCCAAGAGCUGAGGUACCACUGGCAUCACUUGGGCCUGUGCCAUUCUGCCCACGUCCCCUUGGAAGUACAGAAUGGAGUACAGAAUCCCCCUCCUAUCUGGACUAGGCAGGGAGUGGAGGUGUGACGAGGCCUUGCCAGCCGCUCUUCAUGGUGGGAAUAUAUUCAAAUCCAGCCUCACCUGGAUAUCCCCCAGGAAUUGUGAGCCCACCAGUACCCAGCACCAUCUGCCUUCCGCUGGCUUAUCAGCCUUUUAGUGAUGAAAGGGGGACCAGCCCAUGACGAGGGAUGGUUGCCAUCUGAAAUGGUCAUCUUAGCAGAAACCAUGAAACAAACCUUCAUUUACAUGGACAAUAAUGCUAACAACAUUUAGAAAAAGGUUUGGAAUGUUGCCCCAGACUCCCUCAAAUCAACAAAAUAUGGAAUCUAGCAGUGACCCUUAUGAAAUACACAGGCCUGAAGGUAGAUUGGUUCCUACGGACAAGAAAAUAAUAUUUCUUUUUCAUUUCCAGCCUAGAAAAUUUGGCCAGCAUCCCAGCUGGCCACAGUACACGGAAGUCAGUUCAAAUAGAGAUUCCUGCCUCCCCUUGUUUGCAAGAGUUACUUGUAUAAAAACAGUCAACAAACGAAUCAGCCAGAUGAGCUUUCCUUCCUUUAUUCAGUCAGACAGUGUUUUAUGUCGGGAAUCCAUGUAGAAACAAAUUCAUGUGCUAGGUGCUGAUGAGAAACCUGAAUUUGCUGAUCUGGUUAUAUAAACUGUGCUGAGAUAGGCUGAAGGGAGAAGGCCCAGUGGAGAGCCAACCUGCAGUCGACUCUCUUCUGCACAUCAGCAAUAAGACUUGCAGCCUGGUGGCCAGUAUGGACCGUCCAUUCCUCUUUCUACGGCAGCUAAUAUUCAUCAAGGUCGUUGAUGUGCCAGGCAUUGUGCAAAGUUCUUUGCACGUACUGCCUCAUUUUGUCUCACAGCAGCCUUAUGAAGUGGGCUAUUAUUAUGUCUGAGGCUAAUCUCUAAGGCUCGGAAACAGAGAUAAUGCAUCUGAAGUCAUGAAGCUGGUAAGUCCGGAAGCCAAGAUUGGGGGAAGAUUCUCCAAGACAGGGGAAGCCACGAUUUGGGUUUGCUUUUGUUUCUUUGAGACAGUCUCAUUCUGUCACCCAGGCUGGGGUGCAGUGGCACAAUCUUGGCUCAGUGCAACCUCUGCCUCCCAGGCUCAAGCGAUCCUCCUGCCUCAGCCUCCCAAGUAGCUGGGACCACAGGGGCAUGCCACCACACCCAGAUCAUUUUUUUAUUUUUUGUACAGAUGGGGUUUCACCAUGUUGCCCAGGCUAAUCUUGAACUCUUGGGCUCAAGUGAUCCGCCCACUUGGGCCUCACAAACUGCUGAGAUUACAGGUGUGAACCACCUUUCAAAUUUGAUGAAAACUAAAUCCACAGAUCCAAAGCUCAAUGAACUGCCUCCAAAAGCAUAAAUAUAAAGAAAACCCAAGCUAUGUCACAUGAUAAUACAAUCACUAAAAAUCAGUGAUGAAGAGAAAAUCCUAAAAGCAACCAGGGAAAGAGGACACAUUACAUAUCAAAUAAGAAAGAUCAGAAUGAAAGCAGUCUUCUCAUAAGAAACUAUGUAAUCUGGAAGACUAUUAAGGUGACAUUUAAAAAAUAAUGAAAUAAAAACAAUCUGUCCAUUUGUAAUCAUACCUACAAUUUUUUUAAAUGAAGGCAAGAUAGUUUUUUUCCAGACAAACAAAAUCUUAGAGAAUUAAUCACCAGUAGACUUGAACUAUAAGAUAUGUAAAAGUAGUUUCUUCAGGCAGAAGAAAAAUGGCACCAGAUAGAAAUUGGGUCUAUGCAAAGGAAUAAAAAGUGCCAGAAAUGGUAAAUAUGUGGAUAAGUAUAAAAUAUAUAUUUUUAUAAUUUUUAAAUCUCUUUAAAAGAUUACUGGCUAAAGUAAAAAUAACAAUGUAUUUUGGAGUUUGUAACAUCUACAGAAAUAAAAUGUAUGAUAACACCAGCACAAAAGAUGGGAGCGUGGGAUAAAAGAACACUGUUUAUGAUUUUUACCCCAUGUGUGAAGUAAUAUUUUUUAAUGGCAGCAAGUUAAAAAUGUAUAUUGUAAACUCAAGAGCAACCUCUGAAAAACAAAACAAUACCAAAAAGGAAAUAUAGUUAAUAAGCCAAGAAUGGAAAUAAAAGGAAAUAAUAAAACAUGAAUGCAAAAGAAGGUGGGAAAAGAGGAAAUAAGGAAAAAAUAACAGAUGAAAUCAGUGGAAGACAAAUAGCAAGAUGGAAUAUUCAAACCCAACCAUAUUGUUAAUUACUUUAAAUAUAAAUGGUCUAAUGAUACUAAUUAAAAGUCACAGACUUUCAGUUUAAAUAAAAAAGGGUGCAAGGCCUAAUCAAAUGCUGUCUUUAAGAAACUUAUUUUAUUUUAGAUUCAGUGGGUGCCUGAGUAACUAUGGGGCUUGGGCUUCUAUUGAACCCAUCACCCAAAUAGUGAACAUAGUACCCAGUUGGUAGUUUUACAAUCCUUGUCACUGUCCUUUCUUUUGAAGUUGCCAGUGUCUGUUAUUUCCAUCUUUGUGCCUGGAUGUACCUACCGUUUAGCUCCCCCUUACAAGUGAGAACAUGUGGUAUUCGAUUUUCUGUUCUUGCAUUAAUCCACUUAGGAUAAUGGCCUCUAGCUACAUCCAGGUUGCUGCAAAGGACACAAUUUUUUUCUUUUUUAUGGCUGCAUAGGAUUCUGUAUAUGUGCCAUAUUUUCUUUAUCCAGUCCACCAUUGAUGAGCACCUAGGUUGAUUCCAUGACUUUGCUAUUGUGAAUAGUGCUGCAAUAAACAUAGGAGUGCUGAUGCCUUUUGGUAGAAUGAUUUCUUUUCCUCUGAGUAGGUUCCCAGUAGUGGGAGUGCUGGGUUGAAUAUGGUAGUUUUAUUUUUAAUUCUUUGAGAAAUCUGUAAACUGCUUUCCACAGGGGCUGAACUAAUUUACUUUCCUGCCAACAGUGUAUAAGUGUUCCCUUUUCUAUACAGGCUUACCAAUACCUGUUAUUUUUUGAUUUUUUAAUAAUAGACAUUCUGACUGGUAUGAGCUGGCAUCUCUUGUGAAGAAGCCUAUUUUUUAUUUUUAGUAGAGAUGAGGUCUCACUAUGUUGCCCAGGUUGUUUCAAACUCCUGAGCUCAAGUGAUCCUCCUGCCUCGGCCUCCCAAAGUGCUAAUAUAGGUUAGUAUUAGUGAUUGGUUUUGGCAUGAGCCACCAUGCCCAGCCAAAGCCUAUUUUAAAUAUAAAGACAAAAGUAAAAAGUAGAAGGAUGAAAAAGAUAUACCAUGCUAACAUUAAUCAAAAGAAAGUCAAAGUGGCUGUAUUAAUAUCAGUCAAAGGAGAUUUCAGGACAAGAAAUAUGAGAGAAAUAUGUCAUCAUGAAAAAGGGAUCAAUUCAUCAAGAAGAUACGAUAAUCCUAAAUCUUUUUGCAACUGAUAAUAGGACUUAAAAUUCAUGAAGCAAACACUAAUAGAACUGCAAGAAGAAAUACAACUAUGUAAUUAUGGUCAAAGAUUUCAGCAUUCCUGUGGUAAGCAGAAUAAUAGUCCUCCAAGGCUGAUCAUGUCUUACUCCCUGGAACCCAUGAAUCUGUUGCCUUACACGGUGAAUGAGAAUUAAAGUUGCAGCUAGAAUUAAGGUUGAUAAUUACUAGGUUGGUGCAAAAGUAAUUGUGGUUUUUGCCAUUAUUUUCACCAACCUAAUAGCUGACAUCAACAUAGGGAAAUUAUCCUAGGUUGAAUUGGCCUAAUGUAAUCCCAGGGAUCCUCAAAAGUGGAAUGAGGAAGAGGGAGGAAGAAGAGGAGGUCAAGUGAUGCAAUGUGAGAUAGACUCAAUCUGCCAUUGUUGGCUUCAAAGAUGGUGGAAGGGACCACAAACCAAGGAAUGAAGGCAGCUUCUGGAAGCUGGAAGAGGCAAGACAACAGGUAAUUUCCCAGAGCCACCAGAAAAGAAAGCAGUCCUGCCAACACCUUGAUGUUAGCCCACUAAGAUGCAUCUCAAACUGUUCUGACCUACAGAAUUGCAUGAUGAUACAUUUAUGUUGUUUUAAGCUGCACGUUUUGUGGCAGUUUGUUAUAGCAGCAAUAGAAAGCUCAUA